rnacentral:rRNA from 1 species
UACGAAGGGGGCUAGCGUUGCUCGGAAUUAUUGGGCGUAAAGGGCGCGUAGGCGGUGCGGUAAGUCACCUGUGAAAACUCUGGGCUCAACUCAGAGCCUGCAGGCGAAACUGCCGUGCUUGAGUGUGGGAGAGGUGCGUGGAAUUCCCGGUGUAGCGGUGAAAUGCGUAGAUAUCGGGAGGAAGACCAGUGGCGAAGGCGAAUCUCUGGACAGUUACUGACACUGAGGCACGAAGGCCAGGGGAGCAAACGGG